rnacentral:lncRNA from 1 species
GCAUGCUCGAGGUCUGUGUGAGAGAGAACUGGACAGGGAAUGAUUUGUCUGAAUAGCAAACAUCUUGCCGUAUAAAUUGUAAUGGCUCCUAGAUUUUUUUAAAAAAAAUCUGAGUUGUUGCUACUUGCAUUGAAAUGAGGGCUCAUCGGGGUUCAGUUUUCAAUGUGCUUGCUUGCUAACUUUGUGAGGAACUAUUGAGUACCUGUUCUUCCUCAUGGUCUUGGCUGGCUGGUUCUAAAGGGUUAAAUUCCCAAGGAGAAAUACGCUGGGUAACUCUGGAUCUGCCUUCUCGAAGCGGAAAGCUUUUGCCAGCCUAAUACAGUCAGCCGUGGCAAAGUUUUGGAAGGAGCUCUAGUCCGGCAAGUAAGACUUCUUGCGCUAGAAAAUUGGUUAAUCCAAUGGCUUCUUGAAUCUCAAAUAUUUUUGGAGUUUGCGUGUGGAUUCCUUGCUGGGCAUGGUUUCCCCCAGCAGUUUGUGCCCAUCCUUAAUAGCAGGGUGUUGACCAUAAGCCAUGAAAGGAAAUCGCUAGCUCUGCCAACGUCUUGCAGCCAGGAUGCCUGGGCCACACACAAGCCCUUGUGGCUUUCUCCUGUGCUGGCGAGCUGUAUCUUCAAAUGCAUCUCCCUGGGCGAUUAUUUUCUCAACUGUAGGAACUGCCUUUGUAACAGCAAGAGCUGUUCGUGUGUUGGGUGCUGCGAGCCUCACUUUGAGUUGCUUUCAGCACAUCCUCACAUCCUGCUGUUCAUAAUGUUGCAAAAACAGUCCCUGAGAUGUUGAGCCAUAUGCUGUUCCCGGAAAGUCUUUUUCUUUUCAAGGGUGGCCUGGCGACCUCGGAGGUGGCACCCGAUAACCCCUCGGCAAGCUUGCUUUCGCAUGCCACUUUCCUCAAAGACAAAAAGAGAGUUGGUUGCAACAACGGUGGUUCCUGAGGAGCCUUGACAGCACGAUGGCAGUGUAGCGUGUUGAAAAACCAAAAGAUGAAUUGACUGAAAUGUGUGGGUAUUUUUUUUCUUUUUGAAGUAGCGUAUUUGGAGAGGGUGUGUGUGUGUUCACAGUUGCAUCUGCUUCUUUCCGUGGGUUUUCUCUUCCUGCCGGAGCCUUUGAGUAGCAAGGAACUCCCCCAAAUCCCCAGAAUUUUCAAAGGCUGGCAUGUGCUCCCUGUGCCUGGUAAAGAACCAUGUUGGCUAAUAAAAAGCAUUCCAGAAUAUCCUGCUUGUCUGGGGCAGAUGGCAGAAGCCCCACUCAGAGGAAGCGGUUUCAUUCUUUCUCUGCCAUGGGGGAAUGACUCUUACAACUUAGGAGAAACAGGAACCCUGUGACCAACUCAGGGCUUUGCAUAUUGAGGGGAACUUGUUCCCGGAUCCUUCAUUUGAAAACAAAUGCUCAGGACGGCUGAUGUGUACAAACACCUAAGCCCUUGUAGCUGAAUUUUGCUUGGGAAGCCUCAUAAAUGUUUUCAGUGUGUGUGCGAGAGAGAAAGAGUAUUGCUUGUUUGGAAGCCGAUCCUUAAUUUGUGUUGCUUAGCUUGAAACUGCUGAGAAAACGGUUGCGUUUGUGCUUAUGUUUUCCUUAUGUAAUACAAAGUCAAUUUAAAUCGCAGGCUGAGAUGGCAUGUAAUGAGUUAGUCAUCGGCUACUCUACAAGAGAGAGAGCUCGUGACCAGCUGCAAGGGCAUGAUCCGCUAGGAAUAUUGUCAAAGUGAGGCCUGCUGAAACAGAGUUUUGCUCAUGCACAACUCCCAUUCAACGCUUAAAUUUUUAUCCCCCAUUUUCGUUGUCCAGCAACUAACGUUCGCAAGGGGCCUUGCUUGGGCUGGAGACAUUCCAGCAGAUGAUGCCUUGAGACGAUGUGCUGACCAUCAAAAUGUGACUAUAUUUUCUUAAAAUGGUGUGUACCGUUAAAAGUUUUCUCAUGCAGUAUUGAAUUUAGUUUGCGUAUCAAUUUUUAUGUUGGCGUUGUUUUUGUAUUCAGUUUUGGAAAAGUUACAUUAAGAAAAGUUUUUAAAACACUGGGUUUUUUUUAAAAAAGCAAAACAACCAAUCUAACUGGGGUGCAGAGUCCUCUGGGCAGUUCUCUUGCACAAUUGCUAUUUGCAAGAGAUGGGAACGAUCCCUGUUUUUGUGUGUCCCAGAGUCUUCAUUUCAUGGGUGGUUCCUCCUGUGCUGGAUGAAAAGAGCUGCGUCAUAGGUACGUGUGGAAUCCCAGUCACUCACUGGAACUGUUCCCCCAUGUGCUUAAAUGAGAGUGGAAAAGCUUGACGCUUGCAGAGUUUUGCAUCCCCUGUGGAGCCUCUGGAGCAUGGCCCCAAAUAGGCAACAAAUAAGUCACUCAAGGAACAUUUAAACGUAAAUUAUCGCUCAUGAAUAAAACAAAAUUUGAGCAAUUAAGGAGUCCCAGAAUGUUGUGUACCGAUCACAUGAAUUUUGAAUUAAUGGAGAAGCGAGUUGCUGCUACAGUGCUCCAUUAAUAACGUCGAAAAUGUUGGCAGGCUUUGUUUUAAACAACCCUGUGAGGUAGGUCAGUGCCCCUUUUGCAGAAGGGAAAAUUUGAAGGUUUGCUAGUAAUGUGAGUCCACGACACAGGCAGGACACAAAUACAGACCGAAGGGCAAUGGGUUUGGCGUUUGUCCCAGUUCAUGUAUUUGUAGGAAACUGGUUACAUCAGUGCAGCUUCCGGCCUGGAGGAAGAACACCUGCUUUGAAUGCAGAAGGUCCCAGUAUCCUGGGCAGCUUCUACAGCUAAGAGUCUUUGGUAGCUGGCGAUGGGAAAGACCUGUUUGCUGGAGACUUUGCAGAACAACUGUUAGCCACAAGGACCUCCCCAUGAUACGUGGUCCCAGGGGCUUGGCCAGUCUGUAGAAAAUUGUGCCAAGCAGGAAUAUCCUUAUUUCAUCUAUUUAAAGAGCAACUGCUAAGAAGCAACAUGGUUCCUUCAUCCCAUCUGAUUCCCAAAUGGGUUGCAAUUGCCUCAGCUACAUGCGCGACUGUCUAUAUGAACCCUGGGAUGGGGGUUAAGAAGUUGGACAUGUCAAUUUCCCCUCCACCUGUAUCUCUGCAAAAGUUGCUUGUGUAGGAGAGAGUAACCUUUGUAUGACUCGCAUUGCAGUCACCGUGACAUCUGAGUCACUGACCGCCUGACAUCAGUUGCCCAGGGACUUUGCUUUGAAGGGAAUGUGGGUGCUGGGGAGUCUUGUGGAAAUAACUUGUGACGUGUGAAGAAGCCGUGAGUGUUAUCGGUUAUCCUACUUUACGCACGGGUUGCUGGUGUGUGUUGAAUUUGUAUUGGUGUCUGGUGGUGCUUGCUUGACAGGGAUAACAGCUGUUUUGGCUGGGUAGACUCCAUCUUCUCUGCGUUGUGUAGUUUUGCUAACACGUCCAGAUUUUUCUCCAUUUUGUGGGUGUCAGCUAACACAAGCGUACAGGUGAGAAAGUGUGCUCUGGCCAGCAAAAGACGUUCCCAGCAAGGCAUCUCUCAGGGCUUCCUUGUCCACUCUGAGGACUGAGUCUGAGCCCUUUUGAUUUUCAUGGGUUUUGAUGGAAAGUCUCAGAAAAUCCACCUUCUCUUUAUUCUUUCUUUCAUUCCAGUCUCCUUACUUAUUUGAUCAUUUAGUUAAAGCAAGUCUUAAAUGAUUUGUGGAUCCUGAGGUCAGGGUCCCGUGAAGCAGGAAAGGCAUUUGAAACCCCCACCUCAGUUUUAGGAGAAAGUUUAACAGAGAAUUUUUAUUUCCGUAACAGAAGUUCUUUUAUCGUACUGUUCUAUUUCAAAUAAUUCUUUAAAAAGCACCAGAAUGCAACUAGGAAACCACUCAAGCACUGAAUGACUGACUUGGAAGAAUUUAGUGCUGGGUACCUUCACUGGCCCUUCAGGUUUGUUUAUGAAACAGUAUUUUUAUAAAAGUGUAACUUGUUUGCUGGAUAAAAAGUAUCCUAUUUUUAGCUGCAAUUCCUGCAUUGCAGAGGGUUGGACUAGAUGACCCUAGGGUUCCCUUCCAACCUUACUACAGUGGUACCUUGGUCCUCAAACGUUCCAGAAGUCCAUUCCAAAACCAAAGCGUUCCAAAACCAAGGGGGCCUUUCCCAUAGAAAGUAAUGCAAAAUGGAUUAAUCCGUUCCAGACUUUUUAAAACAACCCCUAAAACAGCAGUGUAACAUGAAUUUUACUAUCUUAACGAGACCAUUGAUCCAUAAAAUGAAAGCAAUAAACAAUGUACUGCAGUCACACAAUCAGCCAAUCAAUCGGUAGCUGAACCGGGCUCCACACAGUCAC